rnacentral:misc_RNA from 1 species
AGAACAACAAGUGUUGGUUGAAAAAUGGCAGCGCCGUAGCAUCAUCAGGAACCAUCCGUAGUGAUGAUUUUGUGACAAAAGUAAUAAUAUCACAGUAUUUUUAGAGCGCGAUCCGGUCUGAUUGAUUAAAAUUAAUUGGUCCCAAUGACAUGGGAAUUUGUAGCAGAAGGCACUUUCUACUGACAAUAUGCAUCCUUCAGCUUAUCACAACAAUAGAGCGUCAGGUGUUCGACUCCCUUGGUUUCAUGUGGGCGCCGAUACUGGUCAAUUUCUUCAACAUUAUAUUCGUUAUUCUCGGAUUUUUUGGAGCGUUUCAGUAUCGGCCUAAAUACAUUAUAGUGUAUUGUGUAUGGAACAUACUCUGGCUUGGGUGGAACAUAUUUUUGAUAUGUUUUUAUCUCAGUGUUGGAAUUUUGGACAAGGACAGCGAUGUCCUGAAUCUGGGCACUGGUAGCUUUUCCUGGUGGCAAGCUAAUGGACCGGGAUGCAAGGCUACAUACAAUGUAACGGAACAAGAAGAAUCAUCCAGACCACCAAAACCCGCCAAUGUUACUGACUGUAUCUUGGAUUAUCAAGUAAUCGAAGUUUUUCAUGCUGGAACGCAAUGUCUUUUGGCGCUGAUGGCGAUAGUCGGUGGAAUUUGCUUGAGUCGGGUUUUUCUUGAGGAAGAUGAUAGCUCAGUACAAACUAAAGAUAAGAAGAGUAAAAAGAAAAAGCAGCCAAGGCCGUUGUACAGCAUCGAGUAUUCUCAACCGGAGCCAUCGACAAACGACGAGAACAUAUCUCCAAAGCCGAUGACACCCAGGAGAGUAAAACGUCGCUCUGUGAUAUCGAGGGACGGAACGCGGAGGUCGAGUCGAAGGAGUUCUGUGCGUCAAUCGCGGCGCAAGAAUCCGGUCAACAGAAUAAUAGAUCAGCAAGAAAAUCUCUACGCCAAUACGCAGCCGAGUAAUUUGACAAACCAAAACGUGAACUCACUGUCUCACGAAACACUGAACUAUGACAGGAUCUCCAACACUUGGGACAGGGACAGGACCAGGAAUCCAAAAUGGCAACCAGAGGCUGUCAACAUGGCCAUAUCGGUGCCCACUUUAUGGAACCAGGACUCGAACUGUUCGAAUGCUAAUCCGACCAAUGAAACCGCCAACCAGAAUUGGGACGUUAAUGCAACUUCGACGAGGAACCUGACUGACAAUUGGCGUUCGACCGAGGCCAGCAUGCAGUGGCAGGGCCAGAGUAAUCCAACUUUUCAACAAACGAGUACGCAGAGUUUGAACGGGGAGGAUUUGGACGAUGUUUACAGCAACAGGCCCGCCAGUGCCAGGUCUAGCUACAGCAAUUAUCACGGGGUCAGAGCUACGCCUCAAGUUCCCAGUCGAACCGACAUUGUCAGGCAAAGCCAACGUCAGUUUGUUCUCAGCGGUCCGCCUGCUUAUCAGGAUACCGUGAUUUGAGAUUUAACGAAAUAGUGUUGCGCUGUUUUAGUUUUGUGUCCCGACAAUUGCACCGUGCCUCAAUAUGGAUUCUUCUUUCGCUUAGCCAGCUGCACAAACGACUGAUUUUGAAAAAUUUGAGACAUGGAAGCGUGGGUUCCGAAUGAUAUAGAAUUCACUUUUAGUGGAAUGUUUUUUUUUACGAAUUUCUCUGCCCAACUAUGGAAAAUAUCUUGAUAGAAACGCUUUAUACAUUGGGACUUUGCAAAGAAAAUUUCUCUUGUUAGCUCCGUAUUUUUUAACUUUGUCAUUUCUCCGUGUUUCUUCAUGUCAUUCAGCUUUUGCUUAAACGAUUGUGAAAUUCUUUUUCUGUAUUGUUUUGUAGAUUUUUAAUUCAUCGUGCCCACUGGGAAUUCGAAAAAUGGUCAGGCAAGUCAGGGAAAAGUCAGGGAAUCUUGUGGAGGUAUCAAUAAAAAAAGAUAAAGCUGUCCUCACAAAAACGAAAAAUCAAAUAACAGUUUUUGUCCGUGUGCUUGGUUCCAUGACUAUUAAACAGAUCAUAAACGUAUUUUUUAGUACCGAUUGACUGGAAACUUUAUAAUUUGUUAGAUGUCGAAUUGCCAUUAUUAAUUCGGAGGGAAAAAUUAUAAUUCGGUCAGGAAAAGUCGGGGAAUUUGUGUGUAAGUUAUUCGAAGAGCGUGACCCACCAGCUGUUGUUUGCAACAAAAAUUAUCGUUUCGUUCGGUUUAUUACAAAUCCAAAAGUUCAGAUAAACGCAAUGCUUUAUGAUCGUUGGAAAAAAUUUAUACGAAGUAUGAAUUACGCAAAGAAAUAUUAGACAUUCGGAUAUUCUCCAAACAAAAAUGGAUUAACAUUAGCAAAUUGCAACAACAUUUUCUAGAAUUCGCAAAAAAUUACACUUUUUCAACAAAAAGUAGGUACAGGAAAAUUAAUUCCAGCGAAAUCCAGAACCUGAUAGAAGAAAGAAAUUGUUACGAGUCGAUUAAGGAUUUUAGAAAAAUGUAGAAUGAUUUGGAGCAUUUUGGAGAGAACAUUAAUUAAACAAAUUCGAAGGAACUAGAGAUUUUUACGGAUGCACGGCCCUUUUCGAGUUUUAUUCUCCUCUCAUAACUGUUGAAACUUUCCGAUUUGAGAAUUUUCUGAGACUUAUUAUUUGGCAACUUUUAAUGCAUAACUUUUGAAAUAAAAAUUAUUCUCACCGAGACAAGAGAAAUAUAAGACUUGAAGAAAUUUCUCCAAUAAUUUUUUCCUUUUUGUUGACAUUGUAUCACUUGCUCAAAUGAUUCAGCAUCUAUUGGUAUCUUAACUGCUGUACCGAUCUUCCUAUUAAAUUUAGACAAUUAUUUAUCCGACAUUCAAAUCAUUUUCAUCAUCUUUUCACCAUUCUACCUGAACAAUAAGUAUCGAGUAAAUCUCGAAUAAGACAUAUGAAGUUCAUAUAUUUUUCUUACUAAUUAUAGCGAUAUACUUUUGAUAUUAUAAUUGUCCAACCAAAUUUAAUGAAAUUUGAAUUACCACUUUUACAUGCACGUCGCACGUUGAUAUUAUUAUAAGUUCACAACACGCACCUUUUACAAUGAAUUACACAUAUUUCACGUGAUCAUCACACUUUUUUUCUGAUUUACUGUCGUACGUCCAUAAUUAUCGUUAAUAAUCAUUAUUAUUGUAACAAUGAUCAUUCAUGUUGAAUUAAAUGCAAUGAAUCUCAAAUCAAAAAUAAGGAAACUCGUUCGAUAUGAUAGUAGUAGCGACGUUUUUAAAUGUAACUACAAUUAGACGAAACGAAGGAUGAAACUGGCAUAUAGGUUUAUAUGUUUUUAUACAAGUUUUCAUCGUGAUAUUAUUAUAAAUAUACACUAUAUUUGCAAUUGAAAAAUUAAAAUAGAGUACGAAAGAAAAAAAAAAAGAAAAAAUUUUUAGAGUAAAAAAAAUUUGCUAUUUAUUGUACAUUAAUUAUAAUUGCAAUAUAAACAAUUUAUAAUGAAUAUACAUACAUAUAAGAUAAUUAACGCUUGAAUAAACAAAAUUUACGCCGUCUUCCAAUUUUUGAGAUACACUUUUUUCCAAUAAAAUUUUAUACAGACACGUCUAUUUCGCGUGCAAUAAAUCUAAAACGAUAGUAAUAAUCUUGAUUUUAAAAA